rfam:Schistosoma mansoni, Puerto Rico, WGS project CABG01000000 data, contig: 0010
CCCCUGCUGAGGAGUCCCAUCAUAGGACGAAACCGCCGUCCAGUCC